UAACACGCGUGGCGACGCUGUGCCUUGUGCAUCGCAAGAUAGUGAUGAGUUAUCACUUGGUUAAGCCGGGGAGGGUGUAAGAGAUUGCCACGGUCUCAUCCCUCUCCGGUUUUGCUAU
rnacentral:sRNA from 18 species